ACUCGUCUUAUGACAAGUGGCUUGUGUAAAGUUUAAAAGUUGGAUGAAUAAAUCAAAACCAGGUAAGCAAAACAUUGUUGGUGAAAUGGACUCGGACCGUUCAUUAGAAUCCACCAGCGCAGCGGUUUCCCAUAAACAUAUUCGUUCACCACGGAAGUUCUUACAAUGGACAAAAUAGUAUUGAGAGAGUUGUUUGAAAAUCAUGUCGGCAGGGUUAGGAGCAAACCGGUAGAUGACUCCUUUAACGACCUCGCGCCUACAGAAACCAGAAUCCAUGCGAAUUUCGUUUGAACCAGG